UACACUCCUGCGGGAGGCAGCAGUGGGGAAUAUUGGACAAUGGGCGCAAGCCUGAUCCAGCCAUGCCGCGUGAGUGAUGAAGGCCCUAGGGUUGUAAAGCUCUUUCACCGGUGAAGAUAAUGACGGUAACCGGAGAAGAAGCCCCGGCUAACCUCGUGCCAGCAGCCGCGGUAAUACGAAGGGGGCUAGCGUUGUUCGGAUUUACUGGGCGUAAAGCGCACGUAGGCGGACUAUUAAGUCAGGGGUGAAAUCCCGGGGCUCAACCCCGGAACUGCCUUUGACACUGGUAGUCUUGAGUUCGAGAGAGGUGAGUGGAAUUCCGAGUGUAGAGGUGAAAUUCGUAGAUAUUCGGAGGAACACCAGUGGCGAAGGCGGCUCACUGGCUCGAUACUGACGCUGAGGUGCGAAAGCGUGGGGAGCAAACAGGAUUAGAUACCCUUGUAGUCCC
rnacentral:rRNA from 1 species